rnacentral:pre_miRNA from 1 species
AAAGGCGUGGUUGUUUGGCAGUGUGGUUAGCUGGUUUGUAUGCCACACAAACAACCACUAUCUGCACUUCCAUGCAAACAUUGUCACCA